GACGAACGCUGGCGGCGUGCUUAACACAUGCAAGUCGAACGGAAAGGCCCUGCUUUUGUGGGGUGCUCGAGUGGCGAACGGGUGAGUAACACGUGAGUAACCUGCCCUUGACUGUGGGAUAACUUCAGGAAACUGGGGCUAAUACCGGAUAGGAGCUCCUGCUGCAUGGUGGGGGUUGGAAAGUUUCGGCGGUUGUGGAUGGACUCGCGGCUUAUCAGCUUGUUGGUGGGGUAGUUGCUUACCAAGGCUUUGACGGGUAGCCUGCCUGAGAGAGUGACCGGCCACAUUGGGCCUGAGAUACGGCCCAGACUCCUACGGGAGGCAGCAGUGGGGAAUAUUGCACAAUGGGCGGAAGCCUGAUGCAGCAACGCCGCGUGCGGGAUGACGGCCUUCGGGUUGUAAACCGCUUUCGCCUGUGACGAAGCGUGAGUGACGGUAAUGGGUAAAGAAGCACCGGCUAACUACGUG
rnacentral:rRNA from 1 species